rnacentral:rRNA from 1 species
GACGAACGCUGGCGGCGUGCUUAACACAUGCAAGUCGAACGGAAAGGCCCUGCUUUGGUGGGGUGCUCGAGUGGCGAACGGGUGAGUAACACGUGAGUAACCUGCCCUUGACUUUGGGAUAACUUCAGGAAACUGGGGCUAAUACCGGAUAGGAGCUCCUGCUGCAUGGUGGGGGUGGGAAAGUUUCGGCGGUUGGGGAUGGACUCGCGGCUUAUCAGCUUGUUGGUGGGGUAGUGGCUUACCAAGGCUUUGACGGGUAGCCGGCCUGAGAGGGUGACCGGCCACAUUGGGACUGAGAUACGGCCCAGACUCCUACGGGAGGCAGCAGUGGGGAAUAUUGCACAAUGGGCGGAAGCCUGAUGCAGCAACGCCGCGUGCGGGAUGACGGCCUUCGGGUUGUAACCCGCUUUCGCCUGUGACGAAGCGUGAGUGACGGUAAUGGGUAAAGAAGCACCGGCUAACUACGUG